AUGCCAGGGCUUGUAAUGCCACGGAGCAAAAGGGGGAUACUGCCAAUAUAUUUCCAUGACGCAGCAUGUGCUGCACCACGCAGCACCAGAGCCACUGACAAAACACUGAAGCAAGCGUCAUGCCAGCAGCAAGAUGUGGCAAAACAUGGGCGAGGGCGAGCUAAACCCAGUCGCCACCCACCAAGCAAAGAGGCUGCCCUGUCCAACCAAAGACAGCCCUCGUUUGUUUCUUUCUCCCCUUUCUCUCUCUCUCUCCCUAUUAUCUGUACCAGGAUGCUGCUGUGGUUUGCCGUGCCGUGCUGUCAGCCAAAGAGAGGACAGCUGCCACCGAGAAAACCGCUGAGACUCCUGACUACCGAUGACAGGGCACACUACCCCAGCACUGUAACCGAAUACAGCUGUACAAGCUUCCGAUGGAGAGAGGACAACAGCCAACAUGAGAAAGUGACUGUUACACAAAUGGAGUUAAGUGGACACCACAACCGCUCCAAACAGUUCCCGGGAGCUUUGCUUAGAGCCGCUGCUGCCGCCAGAAUGUUUAACAUUGUAAUGUCCAGUGUUAAUGCAGCGAACCAGACUGUAAACUCCUUGAAACCACUGUUUACUGUCUUCCAGAAGAACUUUACCCAGACUCAGCUGUUUACAGCAUUAACAACAGACAUGCUGUGGGAGGUUAGCUCCUCCAAAGACAGCCUAACCACGAGUAAAACCCCACCAUACAUGAUACCCUUAAGCCUUGUGUUAACUGUGCUGUCUUACGCCAUCACCAUGCCAGCUGACCUGCUACAAAUACACCUGGCCAACUCUCUGGAUAGCGCCUUCCUAAGGCACGUCAACCCCAAACAGAGAGAAGUGAAUGGGCUCCUGAACCAACUCAUCAGCGAGUCAAGCCAAGUCUACAGACCUAAAGACAUUGUCAGUGUCAGGAUGUGGAAAAGCAACACCCACACCAAAACACACAUUCCAAAUGUGGUGGCCUACCACGACAGCGACACACAGCGGUACCUGGCCCCAAACAUGCACAUGUGUGCUUUGUCCAAAGACAUUCAUUAUCUCUGCCUUAGCAAACCCUUCCUCAGACACAACUCUGAAGGAAUCUGCGAGCUGCAACCCUGGGUCAGCGAUACGCGCUGCCCUGCCGAAGCCAAGCCUCGUACACAAGCCACAGAAACGCAAGCAGAGAUUGUGGGUAACAGAUGGCUCGUCAACACUCCUGUGCGCUCAGCUACACUGACCUACGACCAGCAUGACACCGCCACCCGUGCCAAUCUGCUUGACCAAGUACUGAAAGGUACCACCAAACACAUUGACAUUACUCCUGUCGACACAGCCCUCCAAGCACAGCCUCGACAGCCCGUUCUGAACCAGUCAUCUGCGGUCCGAAUCUGGACUGCUCCCGACACUGCACGGUGCAUCUCCACCGUCAUUGGUCCCGCCCUGACUCUUGGCGUGACCUUCAUCCUAUACAGGAUACUCAACGGAUGCAAACCUCUACAGCCAAACUCACGACAACUGUGGCUGGAGGUCUCCGAUGGAAUCCCCGGAAAGGGGGUGCCAAGUCAAAGACAAGACCGAAACCCCAUCAAGCUGAAUCGUCGGCUUCAGGAACCACCUGUUACCAUGACCCACCUGCUACAUGACCAUCUUGAACCACCUGCCGUCAUGAUUCACCUUUCAUCUGCCCAUAGUGAUGAUUGCCGUCCGAUGAUGUCCACACAGGGACUUCAUCCGACGGAAAAGGGGGAGAUGUAA
ensembl:lncRNA